GCCGCAGUAUUUUGACUGUGCAAAGGUAGCAUAAUCAUUAGUUUUUUAAUUGAAAGCUGGAAUGAAGGGUCGGAUGAGAAGACAGCUGUCUCACUUUAAUUUUAUUUGAAUUUUAUUUUUGAGUUAAAAAGCUUAAAUUUUAUAAGAAGACGAGAAGACCCUAUAGAGUUUAAUAAAUUCUGGUUUUAUUUAUUUUGGUUUUAAUUCUAAUAAUAUUGGUUUUUAUUUUGUUGGGGUGACACUAGAAUUGGAUUAACUUCUUAUAAUUUAACCACUGAUUAGUGAUUAUUUGAUCCUGAUGUUUUGGAUUACAAGAAUAAAUUACCUUAGGGAUAACAGCGUAAUUUUUUUGGAGAGUUCUUAUCGAUAAAGAAGAUUGCGACCUCGAUGUUGGAUUAAAGUUAAUUUUUGGUGUAGAAGCUAAGAUUUUA
rnacentral:rRNA from 1 species